rnacentral:rRNA from 1 species
GACGAACGCUGGCGGUGUGCUUAACACAUGCAAGUCGAACGGUAAGGCCCUUUCGGGGGUACACGAGUGGCGAACGGGUGAGUAACACGUGAGUAACCUGCCCUCAUCUCUGGGAUAACAGUCGGAAACGGUUGCUAAUACUGGAUAUGAGCUUGCAAGGCAUCUUGUGGGUUGGAAAGAUUUUUUUGGUUGGGGAUGGACUCGCGGCCUAUCAGCUUGUUGGUGAGGUAGUGGCUCACCAAGGCUUCGACGGGUAGCCGGCCUGAGAGGGCGACCGGCCACAUUGGGACUGAGAUACGGCCCAAACUCCUACGGGAGGCAGCAGUGGGGAAGAUUGCACAAUGGACGGAAGUCUGAUGCAGCAACGCCGCGUGCGGGAUGACGGCCUUCGGGUUGUAAACCGCUUUCAAUUGUGACGAAGCUUUUUGUGACGGUAGCAGUAGAAGAAGCACCGGCUAACCACGUG